UACAGAGGUGGCAAGCGUUGUUCGGAAUUACUGGGCGUAAAGGGCGCGUAGGCGGUCCUGUAAGUCUUGUGUGAAAUCCCUCGGCUUAACUGAGGAACUGCACGAGAUACUGCGAGACUUGAGUUCGGGAGAGGAAAGCGGAAUUCCGGGUGUAGCGGUGAAAUGCGUAGAUAUCCGGAGGAACACCGGUGGCGAAGGCGGCUUUCUGGACCGACACUGACGCUGAGGCGCGAAAGCUAGGGGAGCAAACGGG
rnacentral:rRNA from 1 species